GAGCAGGUGUGAGCACCCGGUCGGCUGCACCCCCGGGCCGGAGGCUGGGCCUGCAGUGACAGGCCGCUGUCAGUGCCCACGGGUCACCUGUGAGCAGAUGCCCCGCACGUGGGCCAGGCGUGGGGACCACAGGCGACAGACCCUCAGGCAGGGCCCCACGCCGGCCCCUGGGAAGGAGAGGGUGUCGCCCCAGACCCCGAGUCACAGCAGCCUCGGAGGCCACGGUUUUCUGUAUUUGGCAAGAAAAAGCCGUUUUCACGUCCCAGGAGAUGGGACACGCGCACACGCACACACUCACCAGGCUGCCCUCUCCCGUGGGGACCUUCUCCCUCAGAGGCUCCCGAGGGCUGAGCGUCGCGGCCGCCGUGGCCUGGGGACUUUCCCGCAGGUGGGCCGGGAACUGCUUCUACCUGAGCUGCCGGCAGGAGGGACUUUCCGGGCCUCGUCCUGUGGGAGGCUCCUCUCUGGGAAACUCCUUAAAUUAGCUGUCGAGUAGGUAAGCCUGGGCCACCGCACGACUUAAAAGGUACAAAAACAACCCGCCGUGCCGCCCCAGCCGCCGGCGCCCAGCGAUGCCAGAUCUGUGUGGGUGUGCACACGUGUGCGUGGUGCGUGCAUGUGUGCAUGCGUGUGUACGUGUGUGCUCUCUCCACCUUUACACACCUGGUGCCCACCUGUCCUGGGGCUCCCAGGCCCCGUCUGAGGCCACCACGUGCUCCCGGGACAGUCGCUGGGCCGUCCGUCUUCUCUGUUCGGGGAGCUGGGGCGCGCCCUCGACCAGGGCUCCCGGAGCAGCCACACGCUCUAGCACGUGGGCCAGUGACACGCCAUGCACACAGGGACACAGCCCACACGUGCUCCCAGGCUGCACCCUGCUGCCCAGAGAGGGCGGACCCGCUCGGCAGCACGGCUGGGUCUGGCCGGCCAGCCCGGGAGCAGGGAUGGGGCCUGGAUGAGGUGCUUCUGCCCCAGCCCCGCCUGGGCUCCCACACCGGGUGUCAGCCAGGCUGUCCCCUGUGGCGUCCUUGGCGGGCAGGCGGCCACCUGCCACGUCUUCACGUGGCCGGCCGGCCCUCUGGUUCUCCUGGGGUCUCUUCUUGCAACAAGGCCAGUCGUGUGGGGCCAGGCCCUACCCUUACAACCUCCUCUGACCUCAGUCACCUGCAAGUGCAGCCACCCUGGGGGUCAGGGCUCCCGUGUGGACCCGGGGACACCAGCCUCUCACACCUACGGGCCCAGACGCGGCUGCACACAGGCACCUGCUCCCGCGGCUGCAGCCACACUGCUGGCCACUGCCCGCCCCGCUGGCCGAGGACUCCAGCCCUGGAGCCGGGCUCCCUCCCGCAGCCCUGGCUGAAGGAGGCCCUGCCCCAGGCCUGUCUCCUGGCUGUGCCUCGGCUCCGGGCGUGCUCUGGGCGCCGUCGGUGAGGCCUUUAUAGCCACAUCCUGCAAGGAAAACACACACUCCUGCCCAGCUGCCGAGGCAAAGAUGUGUGUGGGCGCUCAGCGGCCCCGGGCACCUCCGUCCGCCCUCCUGCUCCUGGGGCUCGCGCUGGGCGCCGCGGCCAAGCUCUGCCCUGGGAACACCUACCCUCGGGGCAGCAAGUGCUGCCACGAGUGCCCGCCAGGUGAGCAGCCGGCCGUGGG